rnacentral:lncRNA from 1 species
CUUCUUCCUCCCGCAGUGCAUCACGGCCGUCCACCUUCCUCCCGUCGAUCCCGUGACCAGAUCCGCUAUCCGUUCCAGCCGCAUCAACCGCGUGCCAUCCGCAUCCAGCUCUUCCGCCAUCAGCCCGUUCCACCUCCCAGCAGCCGCGAAUCACGUCAUCCGAUCAGCACGUCCCAGCCUUCCACGAAGCGUCCGGAGCCAUGGAUCCAGCCACCUUCUUCUUUCGCUCCUCCCAGCAUCGCGUCCCAGCCGCUCUUGGAGUCAGCCAUCCUUCUGCACCAGGCGUCCGGCGAUC